ensembl:piRNA 21ur-5748 ncRNA
UGUUGUUUUUAAGUAACAGAA